CCUACGGGAGGCAGCAGUGAGGAAUAUUGGUCAAUGGCCGGAAGGCUGAACCAGCCAUGCCGCGUGAAGGUCAGUGCCCUAUGGGCGUUAAACUUCUUUUGUGCGGGAGCAAUAAUGGUCACGUGUGGCCAGACGAGAGUACCGUACGAAUAAGCAUCGGCUAACUCCGUUCCAGCAGCCGCGGUAAUACGGGGGAUGCAAGCGUUAUCCGGGUUUUUUGGGUGUAAAGGGUGCGUGGGCUGGGAGGUAAGGCAGCGGUGAAAUGCCCACGCUCAACGGGGUGAAGUGCCAUUGAUACUGCCUUGCUGGAAUGCGGAUGACGUGGGAGGAAUGUGUGGUGUAGCGGUGAAAUGCAUAGAUAUCACACAGAACACCGAUUGCGAAGGCAUCUCACGAAUCCGCGAUUGACGCUGAUGCACGAAAGCGUGGGUAUCAAACAGGAUUAGAUACCCCAGUAGUC
rnacentral:rRNA from 1 species